AGUAACGCGUGGGUAACCUGCCUCACACAGGGGGAUAGCAGUUGGAAACGGCUGAUAAUACCGCAUAAGCGCACAGUACCGCAUGGUACAGUGUGAAAAACUCCGGUGGUGUGAGAUGGACCCGCGUCUGAUUAGCUUGUUGGCAGGGUAACGGCCUACCAAGGCAACGAUCAGUAGCCGACCUGAGAGGGUGACCGGCCACAUUGGGACUGAGACACGGCCCAG
rnacentral:rRNA from 1 species